GUUGUCGUGGCCGAGUGGUUAAGGCGAUAGACUAGAAUUUUAUCUUCUCGCGCAGGUUCGAAUCCUGCCGACAACG